GUUAAUGUGGCAGAACCCGGCCAUUGCGAAAGGCCUAAGCCCUUCUUAUAGAGGUUCAAAUCCUCUCAUUAACU
rnacentral:tRNA from 1 species